CAUCAUUCAGACGGUAAUAAAAGAUUAAUUUUUCUCUAAACCAACAAGAAAUAUGAAUGAAACUUCAUAAAUUGGCAGUUGUGUUUAUUCCCCAUUUUUCACUGCAUUUGCUUAUGUUAUUUCUUUCUACCAAGUUAUCAAUUCUCUCACAAUUUUAGUCAAGCAAAUUCCACCUAGUUUUUUGGAAAGCUUAAACAAAGAUAGCUUUCUCAGCCCUCUAAGAUUGGUUUCCCCACCUUUAUGAGGUUAUAGAACCUGGUGCAAAUUGCUAGUGUAACAUGCAGUGUGAUAUAAUGAAACUUCCCCUCCAAGUUUAACUGCCUUGCAUAAAUUAUGCACUUCUUGAUGGAAAAAAUGCUUCAGAAAAAAAUUUAAACUACUACAAGAAAAAGAUUUGAGAUGAGCAGCUCACGUGGCAGCUCUGAGGACUCUGAGGACUUCAAGACCCAUAGGGAGCACACGAGGACAUCCUGGAACCUGGACAUGGACUCACCAAGAUCAAGCUCACUUGAAUUCCCAAGGAAUAAAUAAUCUCAUUUUCCUUCCUCAGCUGACAUGCCGCUUCUCUGACUUCAUCCUUGAGUUACAACAAGAUCUUCACUGGUUUGCUCCCCAAGGAACACAUGUGGGCUUUCACCAACCAGAUAGUCCAGGAACUUGUCACGGCCCAGCCCCUUGCUACUGAUGCCAACUCCACCUAUUGAGACCACAUCUCCACCACGUAGACACCCAUCACCACCAGCACCCCUCUGCCAGCAGGAAGCAGCUACAGAAAAGGAGAACUUCAC
rnacentral:lncRNA from 1 species